rnacentral:rRNA from 1 species
CCCUUAGAUGUUCUGGGCCGCACGCGCGCUACACUGAUGCAUUCAACGAGCCUAUCCUUGACCGACAGGUCCGGGUAAUCUUUGAAUCUGCAUCGUGACGGGGAUAGAUUAUUGCAAUUAUUAAUCUUCAACGAGGAAUGCCUAGUAGGCGCAAGUCAUCAGCUUGCGUCGAUUACGUCCCUGCCCUUUGUACACACCGCCCGUCGCUCCUACCGAUUGGGUGUGCUGGUGAAAUGUUCGGAUCGGCCGUUUGUCUCGGUUUCCGCAUCAUGUGGCUGAGAAGUUCAUUAAACCCUCCCACCUAGAGGAAGGAGAAGUCGUAACA